AGAGUUGAUCCUGGCUCAGGACGAACGCUGGCGGCGUGCUUCAUACAUGCAAGUCGAACGAGAAGCUGACUUCGGUCAGUGGAAAGUGGCGGACGGGUGAGUAAUAUGUAGAGAAUCUGCCCUUGAGUGGGGGACAACAGAGGGAAACUUCUGCUAAUACCCCAUAUGAGCUAACUUGAAAUAGUUAUCUUGAAAACUCCGGUGCUCAAGGAUGAGUCUGCAUCUGAUUAGCUAGUUGGCGGUGUAAUGGACCACCAAGGCGACGAUCAGUAGCUGGUUUGAGAGGAUGAUCAGCCACAAUGGGACUGAGACACGGCCCAUACUCCUACGGGAGGCAGCAGUAGGGAAUUUUGCGCAAUGGGCGAAAGCCCUGACGCAGCAACGCCGCGUGAACGAUUAAGCCCUUCGGGGUGUAAAGUUCUGUCAGUAGGGACGAAUUUUGACGGUACCUACAGAGGAAGCACCGGCUAACUCCGUGCCAGCCGCCGC
rnacentral:rRNA from 1 species